GCCCCGGUGGCUCAGUCGGUUGAGUGUCUGACUUCAGCUCAGGUCAUGAUCUCACAGUCCGUGAGUUCGAGCCCCACGUCGGGCU
rnacentral:tRNA from 1 species